rnacentral:rRNA from 1 species
UGCGUAGGCGGAUUAAUAAGUCAGUGGUGAAAUCUUUCGGCUCAACCGAGAACCUGUCAUUGAUACUGUUAAUCUUGAGUUCGGUUGAGGUAGGCGGAAUGUGUAAUGUAGCGGUGAAAUGCUUAGAUAUUACACAGAACACCAAUUGCGUAGGCAGCUUACUAGACCGACACUGACGCUGAGGCACGAAAGCGUGGGGAGCGAACAGGAUUAGAUACCCUGGUAGUCC